AUCAUCCUGAUGUGUACGUUAACAAUUGGUAUUUUGACCGAACACCUAUAAGUUAGGGAGUCCGAUUGGUCUUUAAAGUGCAUGCAUGCCUCAAGCAGGAAGCAUAAAACCUUUAAAGCAGGACACCCACCUGCCAAAAGCGGGAUCAAAACUUUAUUGUUUGACGGCACUAUCGGGAUUACG
rfam:Oceanobacillus oncorhynchi strain Oc5 genome assembly, contig: CONTIG000001